UACGUAGGGGGCUAGCGUUGUCCGGAAUCAUUGGGCGUAAAGCGCGUGUAGGCGGCCCGGUAAGUCCGCUGUGAAAGUCGGGGGCUCAACCCUCGGAUGCCGGUGGAUACUGUCGGGCUGGAGGGUGGUAGAGGCGAGUGGAAUUCCCGGUGUAGCGGUGAAAUGCGCAGAUAUCGGGAGGAACACCAGUAGCGAAGGCGGCUCGCUGGGCCAUUCCUGACGCUGAGACGCGAAAGCUAGGGGAGCGAACAGG
rnacentral:rRNA from 1 species